UACGGAGGGUGCGAGCGUUGUCCGGAAUCACUGGGCGUAAAGGGCGCGUAGGCGGCUCAUGAAGGCUGUGGUGAAAGUCCGGGGCUCAACCUCGGAUCGGCCGUGGCGACUCGUGGGCUGGAGCACUGUAGAGGCGGGUGGAAUUCCGGGUGUAGCGGUGGAAUGCGUAGAGAUCCGGAAGAACACCAGUGGCGAAGGCGCCCGCUGGGCAGUGGCUGACGCUGAGGCGCGACAGCGUGGGGGAGCAAACAGG
rnacentral:rRNA from 1 species